AAGUCGUUUUCAUCCUGCUCUUGUAACCCGCGUUGUUCGCAAUCUCUGAUAAAUCAUAGCCCGGAAAGUUGUAGUGAUUCAGAGACCUCUGGCUACGUGCGAACAUUGGAACAGUUACAAUCGAGCGGUAGUUCUAUAGGCAAUGUUUCCCCAAGCAGUCAGUGUCGGAAAGUGUCAUUGAUUGUGCAAGGAUAGCGCUUCUACGAUUCCUGUAGACCGUACACUCGGGCAGGAGCUUUGCCAAAGGGUCCCCAUGCCCCCUAAUAACCCCACAGUUUAAUGUGAAGCUCAAUGUAACAACUGUUAACAAUGGAUAUCUUGGUUCUC
rnacentral:misc_RNA from 1 species